rnacentral:ncRNA from 1 species
AACAAAUUUUAAUUUAGUUUAUAAAUAUUAUAAAGAAUUAAAUAUAUAAAAUUUAUAAAUUUAAAAAAAUUUUAAAUUAAUAUUAAAUAUUGAUAUUUUAAAGAAAUUUAAACUUAAAAUAUCUCAUUGGGGCUAACCAACACCGAGUGCCAGCAGUUGCGGUUAAACUUGGGGCCACAUAUUUUAAAUCUAUUUAUACUUAAUUAAAAAUAAAAGAAAAAAACUACUAAUUUAAGAGUAAAAUCCAAAUUAAUUAAAAUGUUCUCGUUAAUUAAAGUUAAAAGUUUUUAUAAAAACUAGGAUUAGAUACCCUACUAUUUUUUUUAACCAUUAAUAAGGUAGUAAAAGUUUAAUUCUUCAAACUUAAGAAUUAUGGCAGUAAUUUAAGCUGAUUAGAGGAACCUGGAUAUUAAUUGAUAUUCCACAACUAACCAGACGUGUGAUUUAAAAAUUUAUAUAUCGCUGUUAAAUACAAGUCAAAAGACUAAGUAUAACAAAGAAAUUUAAUCACCUAAAUCAAGUCAACACAUAAUUUAUAGCACGCACCAUGUGGGUUACAUUUAUAGAAAAUUAAUAAAAUAUUUAGAUUAAAAUUUAUAUGAAAUAGGAUUUAAAAUUAAAAUUUAGUUAUUCUUUUAAUUUGAAUAAGUAAUAAAGUAUGUACAAAUUGCCCGUCACUCUUAAGCUAAUUAAGAUAAGUCGUAACAAAGUAAGAUCACUGGAAAGUGAACUUAGAAG